GCCGCAAUAUAUUGUCAUUAGCUCCAGCAUACACUUUUCUUCAUUUUUAAGAGACAGACUGGGUGAUAUGCAUACAAACUUUCCUAUGGUCACGUCUGGGAGAGGGUUAUGGCAUGCUGAGGCAGCAGACAGAAAGCGUAAGUGAAGCAGAAAAAGAAAUUUUAAAUCCAAUUAGAAAAAUCACUUGGCAGGAAAAGCAAAAUCCAAACAAUAAAACAAAAAAAUAAA